UCUCUCUCUUCUCCUCUUCUUCUUCUCUCUAUUAUAUCUCCCCAUCAAACAUACAAACCCUAAACGAAAUCUCUCUCUCUCUCUCUCGUUUUCUCCAUCCGAUUAUCUGAUCCUCGAGAAGGAAUCUGUUUAGAUCUGUUUCAACUGAUGAAUGCAAUUUGAUAGUAGUUGAAUUUGAUGGAUGAUGAUUGUACAGAUGGAUAAAAUGUCUGCUCCUUCCUCAAGGGAGCGUGCGCAACGUCUUUACGAAAAGAAUAUUGAGCUGGAGAAUAAGCGUCGGAGGUCAGCUCAGGCAAGAAUUCCUUCAGAUCCCAAUGCCUGGCAACAGAUGCGGGAGAACUAUGAAGCUAUAGUUCUCGAGGAUCAUGGUUUUUCUGAGCAGCACAAUAUAGAAUAUGCUCUUUGGCAGUUGCAUUAUAGGCGCAUUGAGGAACUAAGAGCUCACUUCAGUGUUGCUCUAGCUAAUACUGGCUCAAAUACAUCUCAGGGAGUGAAAGUUCCUGCUCGACCUGACUGUAUUACGAAAAUAAGGCUUCAGUUUAAAACAUUUCUUUCAGAAGCAACUGGAUUCUAUCAUGAUCUAAUCCUGAAAAUCAGAGCUAAAUAUGGGCUUCCUCUGGGGUACUUUGAGGAUUCAGAUAAUAGAGUUGUCUUGGAAAAAGAUGCGAAAAAAUCAGCUGACAUGAAGAAAGGUUUGAUCUCCUGUCACCGCUGUUUAAUAUACUUGGGUGACCUUGCAAGGUACAAGGGACUAUAUGGGGAGGGUGACUCAAAGCCACGCGAAUAUGCUGCUGCUUCAAGUUACUAUUUACAAGCUGCAUCCUUAUGGCCAUCAAGUGGGAACCCCCAUCAUCAGCUUGCUAUUUUGGCUUCCUACUCGGGAGAUGAGUUGGUGGCAGUGUAUCACUAUUUUAGGAGUCUGGCUGUUGAUAAUCCCUUUACAACAGCAAGAGAUAACUUGAUUGUUGCUUUUGAGAAGAAUCGACAGAGUUACACUCAACUGCUUGGUGAUGCUAAAGGAUCUAUGGCCAAGGAUUCAUCCAUGCGCUUGACCAGCAAGGGGAGAGGGAAAGGGGAAGCAAAACCUGCAGUUAAAGACACAAACGUGGAAGCCAAUGUUGUCAAUGAAAGGUCACCUAAUAUCCGUGAGAUAUAUAAAUCAUUUUGCAUUCGAUUUGUCCGCCUGAAUGGUAUUCUUUUCACACGCACCAGCCUGGAAACUUUUGAUGCAGUUCUCUCAUUGGUCAGUGGUGAAUUCUGUGAGCUGCUUUCUUCUGGGCCAGAAGAGCAGCUAAAUUUUGGUGCAGAUGCUGUUGAAAAUGCCCUUCUCAUUGUACGGCUUAUAUCUAUUCUUAUAUUCACAGUUCACAAUGUGAAAAGAGAGGCCGAGGGUCAGACAUAUGCAGAAAUUGUACAGCGUACUGUUCUACUACAGAAUGCACUUACUGCAGUUUUUGAGUUAAUGGGACACGUGUUAGAGAGGUUUGUGCAGCUGCGUGAUCCUUCUACAAGUUAUCUCUUACCUGGCAUUCUUGUUUUUGUUGAAUGGUUGGCCUGUUGCCCUGAUGUUGCAUCGGGCAGUGAUGCUGAUGAUAAACAGGCCACUGUUAGAUUGAAGUUUUGGAACCAUUGUAUAUUGUUCUUGAACAAGGUCUUGUCGUUUUGGUCAAUGUCUCUAGAUGAUAAUGAAGAUGAUACAUGCUUUUAUAACAUGAGCCAUUAUGAAGAAGAGGAAACUGGAAAUCGGCUUGCUUUAUGGGAGGAUUUUGAGUUGAGAGGAUUCCUGCCACUUCUUCCUGCACAAACCAUUUUGGACUUUUCAAGGAAGCACUCUUUCGGAAGUGAAGGCAGUAAGGAAAGGAUAGCUCGUGUUAAAAGGAUUCUAGCUGCUGGAAGGGCUUUAGCAAAUAUAGCUAGGAUUGAUCAAAAAACAGUAUUUUAUGAUUCAAGGAUGAAGAAAUUUGUUAUAGGUGUGGAGCCUCAAAUUUCAGAUGAUAGCAUUUUGAAUUUUGAUCCUGGCGUGCAAAAAACUAAUGAUGUGAUGCAAGAAAUUCAGCCUCAGAAAACCAUUAAUGUGGGAGUUUUGAAGCCUAAUGCACAGCCAUAUAUAGAAGGGGACGAGGAGGAUGAAGUAAUUGUUUUCAGGCCUGCAGCAACAGAGAAGCGAAAUGAAGGGCUUAGUCCAAAAUGGGUCCCCUAUGAUGGCAUGAAACAGAAUCAAGAUGUAUCUGCUGAUCUGAAAUUUUAUGGUGGUUCUGUUUCAUCUCCUCUUGAUCUGCUGCAGCAUUCUGCUUUUGAUGCAGGUUCUCAAAUAUCUGCAUCCUCUGGCAUUAAUGUUUCCCAGCAUCUACAACCUAUUCAACCGCCUGCCUCAAAGUGGUUAAUGGAAGAAGCUGCUUCGCUUGCAAAUAGCUUGAAGGCUAUUAGGUUCACAGAGAAUGGGCAUGUAACAGAGCAUGAGUUGCCAAAAGAUUUAGGCAUAGGCCAUCCUGCUGCACAUUCACUUCCCAUCCAACCUGCAAAUGUUAAUACUAGUAUUUUCUACAAUCAGGCAAAAGUGCCAGAAGCUGUGAUUCCAUCAAAGGUUGAUGUUAUCACUGAAAGUUUGUCUGUGAAGACAUCAGCAGCUUUGCCAGCAGGCUUGAGGAAAACUCCAGUCAGUCGACCUGUAAGGCACCUUGGGCCUCCUCCAGGCUUUAGUCAUGUUCCUCUUAAACAAGUAAAUGAAGCUGUUUCUGGCUCAGAUUUGAUGACUGAGAAUUCAUUGACAGAUGAUUAUAGUUGGUUGGAUGGUUAUCAGUUGCCAUCGUCAACAAGGGGGUCUGGGUUCAGUAAUGCCACUACUAUAACUUCUCAAGCAAUGCAUCAGUGUAUCAAUAGCAGUAAUGGCUUGACUGGGACACUUAGCUUCCCUUUUCCUGGAAAACAGGUGUCAUCAGGCCAAUUCCAGACUGAAAAACAGAAAGGCUGGCAGAAUUACCAUGCCUUUGAGCAUCUAAGAUUACAGCAAGAGCAGCUGCAGCAACAACUCUUGAAUGGAAAUCAGCAAUUUACUCCAAUGUCUGAGCAAUAUCAUGGAAAGUCCAUCUGGGGUGGUCGAUAUAUUGUGUGAGAUGAGUAUAAAAGCAUAGAUGGUUCUGAAAAUGACUUCGUUGAAUGUACUGCGUCCUCUUGCUACCAAAUAUGAACUCCAACUUUGAAUCCUUUGUCAAAUUUCAAAUUUUAAGUUUUUGUUGGAGCAUGGGUGGCUGUGGCUCCUUGACGGGGGCUUGCUACUGAACAAGUGAGUGUCUUUCUGCUUUAUUUAUCCCCCCAAUCCCUCUCAAUCCUCAGUACCAAAAGAAAAAAAGAAGAUUUUUUCCCCUUAGCUCAUAAAAAAUCCUCAUCUCUUGCUGUGGGGAAGGGAACAUUUUUUUCAGCGGACACUUGAUAAUUAAAAAGUUAAGGACCAGACUGCUACUUCCGCAUUUAGUCUCUUCAUGAGCACUUUAAAAAAGAUUCCUAUUGCAAAAUUUUGAAAAAGGAGAUUUCUAAUUGAAUAUGUUUAUAAUCUCCCUACUUUCAAUUUGAAUUACUAGAUGACUUUUUAUGCAAGUGUUUUUAAUUUAUGCCAAGCUAUAUUUUGAAAGAUUGCAAGAUCUUGGUUAGUUGGUUUGUAAGUUCCGAUUGCUUUGCCCUAAAUUGUGCCAUAAGGAUACAAGCUUUGCUUCCAAGCUUCAGUGAAAUGCACAUGAAGCUUUGAAUAGAAAAAAAUAGUCUUUAAAAAUAUCAAAGCUAAGAUUUAAUUUAGAAAGUGAGGACUUUAGAAGAUGAGGGACUUUGAUGUACAGUUUGCCAAAUGGCAAGGAGCAUGUAGUUCACUUCCUAAAACUGAGGAGCCAAGUUAUUUUGCUCAAUAUUUGGGCUGAUUUUUUUAACUCACCUGAAUUAAUUUUUACUCUUGUUAAUCAAUGAGGAAACAGGUUUAAUGUGAUAACUUAUUGUAGUCUAUUUAUAUUGUUGUGAAAAGUAGGUCUCAAGGCAUGAAAUAGAGCGACAUGUUUAUCUCGAGUGUUUGAACUGUGUUGGUCAGGUUCCUGCAUUCUAGUGUUUAUUAGUGUUCUGCUUCUGGGCCUUUUAGAGUAAAGUGGGCCCUUUUUUCUUUGGCAAUAGGCUGACAUCUAUUAAAAAUUAUCUGCAUGGUUAAACAUUAAAAUGCGGGCCCUUAUGAGAAGUUUUAUUGUAAUUGUGCAUUCAUUGGAAAGCUUUAGUUUGUGUUAUAGAAGAAAAUGGCAGGGAAAACUGCACAUUGCACAGAUUACUUCACCGUUUGCUAUCUAUAUUGGGACAGUAAGUUUUAAAAUAAUGAUAAAGUGGCGGUUAGCCUUUGAAAUCUAGUUGCAAGGCAUCUAUUUCAAAUGAUUAUUUUUUUCAAUAGUUAUGGACAUAAAGAUGUGUCUUGAACUUGUUUAUUUUUCCUGGAAUUGAAAAUUAUGUGCAUUUGAACUGAUUUUCCUCAUUAUGCAGAUUUCGCUGAGUUCUCCUUCCAGGUGAAGACAAAUAGUGAAACAUCUGUAUGGUGAGAAAUUCCUAAGUAAAUCCCCUUGUCUGGUUACAUGGGUUGGAGGUAGAAUGUUUUAAUAAGAGCAACUAUUGGUUUCGGGCUUACAUUUGGAGGAGGUGGUGGAAUAAACAUACGGUGCACUCACCAUUUUACUCGACUUUCAUCUUGCCCUAGCUGUCAGAACUGCUGGUGCUCUCAUUGGUUGGCUGGUGAUAAUUUAUAGUAUCUGUGAUUGGUUGUGCCAGAUAUCUCCAGAGCUCUAGUUGGAAGGGUGUUUAGAUAUGAUUUUGGCAUCAGAAGUUGGACAGUGGGAUUAAAUGGUAGUAUGAUAAAUGGUAGUAUGAUAUGAUAUGGUAUAAAUGGGAGUAUGGAAGAUGUUACGUGUAUGGCUGUAGUGUCUAGAUCAAAGACUUGUAAUGUUCUACGAUGCUGUUGUGUGAUAUCAUACUUUUACAGGGUAUGAGUAAAUUAGAACAGCGACUGAUUUUAGUUUGUGUUGAAGUUGGGUUUGACCCUAACUUCUGGGAAAUAAACUCUGGAAUACAUACUUCCUAUGUUGAAUUUUAAUUUUCAGUGUCCUAUGUUUUGAAGUUAUGUUUUUUGAGUUUUUCUUGUAAUUUAUCAGUAUGUUCUUUUUUUUCCUUGGAGAAAAUUUACUGCAG
rnacentral:misc_RNA from 1 species